GUUUUGGUGUAUGGAAUAUUCACGUAGUCAAAACCUUUCGUUAAAAAAGCUCUGAACUUUUCCUCUAUAGUAAUACUAGGGUUAGUCGUUAAUUUUUUAUAUGUAGUAACAUCCAUUAAAAUACGUGAAGCUUCUUUAUUAUAAAAUUCUUUAGACAUAACAACUAUUCCUCCCCCUUUAUCAGCUGGUUUUAUCACCAAAUUUUUAUUCUUUUUCAAUUCCCUUAACACUUUCCUUUCCUUUAUUGAUACAUUAUCGUUAAAUUUAUCCUUUACUUUUAUCUUUCUAUACUCAUU